rnacentral:rRNA from 1 species
GAUGAACGCUGUCUACAGGCUUAACACAUGCAAGUCGAGGGGAAACGACGGGGAAGCUUGCUUCCCCGGGCGUCGACCGGCGCACGGGUGAGUAACGCGUAUCCAACCUGCCUCUGACUGAGGGAUAACCCGUCGAAAGUCGGCCUAAUACCUCAUGGCAUCGUCUGCGGGCAUCCAACGACGAUUAAAGAUUUCAUCGGUCAGGGAUGGGGAUGCGUCUGAUUAGCUUGUUGGCGGGGUAACGGCCCACCAAGGCUACGAUCAGUAGGGGUUCUGAGAGGACGGUCCCCCACAUUGGAACUGGGACACGGUCCAAACUCCUACGGGAGGCAGCAGUGAGGAAUAUUGGUCAAUGGGCGGGAGCCUGAACCAGCCAAGUAGCGUGCAGGAUGACGGCCCUAUGGGUGGUAAACUGCUUUUAUGCGGGGAUAAAGUGAGGGACGUGUCCUUCAUUGCAGGUACCGGAUGAAUAAGGACCGGCUAAUUCCGUG